rnacentral:rRNA from 1 species
AUUGAACGCUGGCGGCAUGCUUUACACAUGCAAGUCGAACGGCAGCACGGACUUCGGUCUGGUGGCGAGUGGCGAACGGGUGAGUAAUACAUCGGAACGUGCCCAGUUGUGGGGGAUAACUACUCGAAAGAGUAGCUAAUACCGCAUGAGAACUGAGGUUGAAAGCAGGGGAUCGCAAGACCUUGCGCAACUGGAGCGGCCGAUGGCAGAUUAGGUAGUUGGUGGGAUAAAAGCUUACCAAGCCGACGAUCUGUAGCUGGUCUGAGAGGACGACCAGCCACACUGGGACUGAGGAACGGCCCAGACUCCUACGGGAGGCAGCAGUGGGGAAUUUUGGACAAUGGGCGAAAGCCUGAUCCAGCAAUGCCGCGUGCAGGAUGAAGGCCUUCGGGUUGUAAACUGCUUUUGUACGGAACGAAAAGGCUCUGGAUAAUACCUGGGGCUCAUGACGGUACCGUAAGAAUAAGCACCGGCUAACUACGUGCCAGCCGCGGCGGUAAAAC